GCUAAUUUUGAUAUGUGUUGACUAGCUCAAUGGUUGGGCACUUCUAAACCUCCUAGCAGCUAGCACAUGCCCACCUCCGGUAUUCUUAAGUUAAUAUCUUUUAAAAUCUAUAUUUUCAUUUCUGUUACCCUAGACACAAUUGGGGGAGUGGCCCCUAGGGCCGCCUUCCUGGAUUCUUAUGUGGCAGUGGGCCUUUUAAGUCUGUUCUCCUUGCUCCCCCAUCAUGGUGAUUCUCCCUGUCCUUCCUCUCUCCAUCUAUCCCUUACUCAAAAAAAUCUAAAAGUCUCCUCUGUUUCCCUGCUCAGCCAUUGACUGGGCCAUACUGCAGUUCUUUAUUAUCAAUCAAAGCCAGCUAGGGGAAGGGACCCACAGGUCUGGAAGGGCUGCUUUGGGAGCCGAAUUAAGACAAAGCAUUAGAACUAAUUCCCAACAAGAAAUGCACCAAAACUGUUCUCAUGAGGUUCUUGUGGCUUCUUGCUGCUUCUGUGGACUCAGGCCAACUGGGAAGAAUGGUGUCAGCUGAUAGACUCAUAGGAGUUUUGCUAAGACGGACUCACAUGCCGAGGCAAGACAUGUACAGGCAAGACCCUUGGAGGGCAUGUGGUGUUUGGAGGGAGUGUAACUAGGGCUCGACAGUCAUGGAGGCUCGCUUGCAUAGCUAGCCUUGCAGUGCUUCCUUGGUCUUGAGUCUUCGAUGAUCUUCACUUCCAUGAGAGAAGCACAGCAAAGAACUUCUCCUGGCCUAAUCCCUCCUAAUGACUCAUGCUGAUUCGGCUCUGGCCUGGUCAUUUCUGUUAGGUUGUGCCACCACUUCUGGUGUGUGAUUGCUAGCCUGACACUACUGAACAAGGUUGCUGGUAAAUUCGUGAAGUAUUUGUGAGUGGAUUGAGCUGCUGCUGCUGCUGACUUCUGUGAACUGAAUCAUGCUUUGCUGAUUUCCUGACAAUGCAGAUGGGAGUUGCUCCAGAGAACAAUUUCUAAGAGUCAACAGGAGGGACCGGGACCAGAACAGACACCAGAAGUUAUCUGCCAUGCCCCUCUCAACAAAGUGAAGAUCGGCAAAGACGAGAGACCAACAGUGCACUGCAAAGUUAGCUAUUCUAUGCAAGCCCACUGUCAAUGUCAGUUGAGUCCUGUUUAUACUCCCUCCAAACAUCACGUGUCACAUGGGUCUUGCCUCAGCAAAACACCACCAGUUUGUCUUAUCAAAACUCCACGUGAGUCUGUGUCAGCUGACACUCUUUGUGAACCAGCCCAAGUCCUUGGAAGCAGCAAGAAGCUGCCAGAACACCACCAGGAGUUGUCUGGUAUGUUUCUUUCUAUGAAGUUAUGGCAAACAAUGGCAGGCAUAUCAGUACCAUCUGGGGUCAUCCAUCCACUGUGGGGUCCUUAACAUCACGAGUCCUUUCACAGGUUUGAUUUAACACAAAACAUCCUUUUACCUCUGUCUACUUCAGGAAAAGGCUCCUUCAUGUAUCUGCCCCAGUAAAACACCAUCCAACACAACUGAUUUUCCAAAGAAACCAGGAUGCUCCUGAGGACCCAAGAGUAUGCUGCAGGAAUGAGUCCAGACACUCCUGCUUACUUCAGCCCUGUCAGGACUGCCCUGCACUUCUGACCUGUUCUGCAGUUUAAGGGCCCACUUUUUGGUCCUCCAAACAGCCCUUCAGCUUCCGCUGCCUGCUGAGGGCAUUGUCCACACAGCCUGCAGCAUGGCCUACCUCUCUGCUGCCUGCAAGAAGUCCUCGGUCAUCUUCCUAACAGGCAUGCCGUUCUGAAGGUAGGUCCUGAACCUCAGGAGCUGGCUCCUGCUCUUCUUGGGUGUUGAGGCUUUGGCUGUGAGUACCCCCCACUCUCCCAUGGCUCCUGGGGUCUAACUUUGUCCUUAGAGGGCAAAGGACUUGGCAGAGGCUAUCUACGCGUGCUGGCCAAGUUGUUAUUGUUCAGGGAAUUUCCAUCUUUUGCUUCAUCCUCUGAAUUAGGAGAGGAUGUGCAAGCUGGAGGGGAGAGAGCAAUCCCUGACAACUCGAGCCUUUUGGCAGGAUCGAGGAACCCAGCGUAAGAGCUGUUGAGAGACAAGCAGCUGGUGGCCUCCACUCUUCAUCCCAGCACGCCGGAGGCAGAAGGAAGCUGGUCACUGUGAGGUGUCCCAAGCCAGAUUGCUGUACAUGGAGUUUCAGGACAUCCAGAGCUAGUCUCAAAAACAUGACAACAAAACCAACCCAACAAAAGGAGAAUAAAGCCUAAUUUGAGUCAUUCGCACAUGUAGAGUGACCUUUAUAACAGUAACGUCUGACCAUAAGUAUGAUGCUGUCAUACUUUUGUAUUACACCUUUCCGGAAGACCACAGCCUGAGCCUGUGACUGUCAGCAGCCUGUGACUCCUUGACUGCAGAGGUCAGUUACAGGGAUAUUCUAGAGAGACCUGUUGGAGAGGUGCAAAAUUCAUAGGAGACAAGGGUUACUUUACAAACGUGUUUAUUCAAGGCCAUUAUAGCCCCAGUCCUCAGGCUCUGGUGACCAAGGCCUGGGCACAUACCCCUAAGAGAACCUUUCUUUCUGCAUGUAGGAAGGGACAGAUGACAUCUUUUCUGACAGUUUGGACUUCCUAUGAGCUAUACAGUAUACGCUUUGAAAUGGCCUAUCUUGAACGUUUUCAGGCCUGUCAGAAGCCUGAGAGUUCAGUUCUCAUCGUAGCACCUGCCUUCCCGACCUUCCCACCUAUAAGCAAAAUCUCCAUGUUCCCCAGGAUGAAACAUUCCUCCCACACUAGGAGCCCCACUGAUUGUUCCUCAGUCUACCUGUGCUAAGUCAUGCGCUAGGGACUAUGUUUCUUGCUUUAGUCUACUUUUGCCUUAAUGCAAAGCAGUUUUGCCUUAGACACUGAAUCAAGAUGGACUGCAAAGAGGACAGAGGCGCAGUGUCUGUCACAACCCAGACAUCCUGUGCAGUCUGCUUCCCCCAAGGCUAGAGUGAAGGAAGGAAUCCCCUAAGGAUAAGCUGUCAUCCCCUAGUUGUUGCUUGUGUGUUGGGCACAAUCUGGGAGGCCAGCAGUGGGCCCAGAUAGCCAGAUCCUACUGGUGCCUACCUGCUCUGGAGAAUGCCACAUACCACACUCAGACUGGCAGACCACCCUGCCCUGCUUGGUUGAGGUUUCCCAUUGGAUCUCAGAACUGGCUUUGGUGGUGCUACAGAAGGGAGGGCAUAUCACAGCUGGCCUCCCUGUGUCUGCUAUAGAACUUGAAGGCCAGAUCAAACAGGCCUGGAUUCUCUUUGUAAAAUGGAAUAAAUCUGAGAAAGAAAUAGAUGUGAAGCUCUGGGCAGUUACAGCAAUUGCUGACUAAACACUUGGGCGUUUCUUGUCUUCUAAUCUUUUAAAGAGCUAGGUAACUAGUAAAAUGGCCUUCAUCUGUGAUUUUGGGUCUAAAACAGAAGUCAGGGGAAGGAAGAGCUGGGGAAAGGAAUUCUCUCUAGACAGAAUCUCUUGGCUGAUACUCUGAUUCCCACCCCUGUAACUGGAUCAGUAAGGGCUUUCAAUUUUUGAAAAAAACACAAAGGAAAACAGAAGAUUUCCCUAGCUAUUGAGAUGGCUCAGUGGGUAGAGUGUGCUGCAGACGUUUUACUAGCCAGACUCCACCCCUAAAACCCAGGAAGAUGAGGGAACCAACUGACUGCAGCUUUCCUCUGACCUCCUUCCACGUGUGCUGUGUGACACAUGAGUUUGUUAUUUUUGUUUUGUCUCUCUUUUUCUGGAACUGAGGACUGAACCCAGGGUCUUACACU
rnacentral:sRNA from 1 species